AGAGUUAAACAGUACGUGAAAUUGUUGAAAGGGAAACGAUUGAAGUCAGUCGUACCGACGAGAAAUCAACUUAACGAAUAGGUAUUUGCGGGCGUAUGAGAGCUUCACGGCCUUAUUGUUUGCGAAUGCAUGUUUUUUUGGGUGUACUUUUUCGUAUGGUAGGUCAACGUCGGUUUCGAUUGUUAUAAAAUGAUCGGAGGAAUGUAGCUUCGAUUUCGAUUGAAGUGUUAUAGCCUUUGGUAGAUGUAACGAUCGAGACCGAGGAUUGCAACGAAUACCCUUUUGGGCUAUCCGUCUGACCUCUGAAAGUUGCUUAGGUACCGAAAGCUUGCUUACGGUUAUUUAAGCCAGCGGUCAAAAGGUUAGAACGUGAUUAAAUUCGUUAAGGACGUUGACGUAAUGGCUUUAAACGACC
rnacentral:rRNA from 1 species